rnacentral:rRNA from 1 species
UACGGGGGGGGCAAGCGUUGUUCGGAAUUACUGGGCGUAAAGGGCUCGUAGGCGGCCAACUAAGUCAGACGUGAAAUCCCUCGGCUUAACCGGGGAACUGCAUCUGAUACUGGAUGGCUUGAGUUCGGGAGAGGGAUGUGGAAUUCCAGGUGUAGCGGUGAAAUGCGUAGAGAUCCGGAGGAACCCCAGAGGCGAAGGCGGCGCCCUGGCUCGACACUGACGCUCAGACACGACAGCAUGGGGAGCGAACGGG